rnacentral:tmRNA from 1 species
GGGGCUGAUUCUGGAUUCGACGGGAUUUGCGAAACCCAAGGUGCAUGCCGAGGGGCGGUUGGCCUCGUAAAAAGCCGCAAAAAAUAGUCGCAAACGACGAAAACUACGCUUUAGCAGCUUAAUAACCUGCUUAGAGCCCUCUCUCCCUAGCCUCCGCUCUUAGGACGGGGAUCAAGAGAGGUCAAACCCAAAAGAGAUCGCGUGGAAGCCCUGCCUGGGGUUGAAGCGUUAAAACUUAAUCAGGCUAGUUUGUUAGUGGCGUGUCCGUCCGCAGCUGGCAAGCGAAUGUAAAGACUGACUAAGCAUGUAGUACCAAGGAUGUAGGAAUUUCGGACGCGGGUUCAACUCCCGCCAGCUCCACCA